CCACAUUGGGACUGAGACACGGCCCAAACUCCUACGGGAGGCAGCAGUAGGGAAUUUUCGGCAAUGGAGGAAACUCUGACCGAGCAACGCCGCGUGAACGAUGAAGUAUUUCGGUACGUAAAGUUCUUUUAUUAGGGAAGAAUAAAUGAUGGAAAAAUCAUUCUGACGGUACCUAAUGAAUAAGCCCCGGCUAACUAUGUGCCAGCAGCCGCGGUAAUACAUAGGGGGCAAGCGUUAUCCGGAAUUAUUGGGCGUAAAGGGUGCGUAGGCGGUUAAAUAAGUUUAUGGUCUAAGUGCAAUGCUUAACAUUGUGAUGCUAUAAAAACUGUUUAACUAGAGUAAGAUAGAGGCAAGUGGAAUUCCAUGUGUAGUGGUAAAAUGCGUAAAUAUAUGGAGGAACACCAGUAGCGAAGGCGGCUUGCUGGGUCUUUACUGACGCUGAGGCACGAAAGCGUGGGGAGCAAACAGGAUUAGAUACCCUGGUAGUCCACGCCGUAAACGAUGAGUACUAAAUGUUGGGUAAAACCAGUGUUGAAGUUAACACAUUAAGUACUCCGCCUGAGUAGUACGUACGCAAGUAUGAAACUUAAAGGAAUUGACGGGACUCCGCACAAGCGGUGGAUCAUGUUGUUUAAUUCGAAGGUACCCGAAAAACCUCACCAGGUCUUGACAUGCUUCUGCAAAGCUGUAGAAACACAGUGGAGGUUAUCAGUUGCACAGGUGGUGCAUGGUUGUCGUCAGCUCGUGUCGUGAGAUGUUGGGUUAAGUCCCGCAACGAGCGCAACCCUUAUUGUUAGUUGCCAGCACGUAAUGGUGGGGACUUUAGCAAGACUGCCAGUGAUAAAUUGGAGGAAGGUGGGGACGACGUCAAAUCAUCAUGCCCCUUAUGACCUGGGCUACAAACGUGAU
rnacentral:rRNA from 1 species